GGAACAAGACCAAGUGCUCUCACUCAUCACCUGACCACAAACUCUAACUUUCAGGUGAGGCCAAUCUGUUUCCCCCCAGGGAGCCUGUUAGCUUUGCUCAGCAUCUGCAAAGAGGAGUGAUUCAAUAAAGUAAGCAACACCUUUAAUAAGAAGACUGCUUGCAACAAGCUCUAAUCCAUAUCUCAGCAUGAAAAGAAAAACUCAGUUGUCUUUCUGGGAUAUAAAUUGACAGAGUCGUGAGAAGACAGCAUGGAAGAGGAGACUCUCGUCCAUUUAGAGUUGGCCACCAGCUCUCUGUUGCACAGAUUUAUGUAGGCAAAUUCCAAGAUUUUACGAUGUGAAUUCCCCUGGGCAGGAGACAAGAACUGAAAAGCUAGAAGGAAGGAAUAAGUUGGUCGUUGUAUUUCUCUGAGAUCAACUGAAGCACUGCAGCAUCUUUAAGAGCAUUCAGAGACCCAGGCAACGAUCCUUCAAGAGACUGAGUUUGAGUUGGGAAGGGUCGCUCUGUACUAAUACCUGAUUUGUGAUCAGAAGAAGGGUUUCAUUCCCUGUUGACAGUGCAUGGGCCCUGCCUGAAUCAUGGAUUUCACACCCCUAUCCCCAAAACUGUUGACUCUGGGCAACUUUUUAGCAUUCAACUAUUACAUCUUUUGUAUGAAAUUUGAAGAUAUAACCCUGCCCUGAAAUAUCUAUUUUAAAAGCGUCACUUUUUCAAAGGUAAAGCUAAAGACUGGGAGGGUUUCUCUCACGAUUACAAUCACCAGCCCAGGCUGCUCGUUCUUGCGACACCCACAUCUUCAACAUACGCCCGCCAUGUUCAGCAUCUGAGGAGAGUAAACCAUGGAGAGCCCUGUGGGUGACCAUGGGGCCAGGCCAGCCAUGGUCUGCAUCACUGCCCUCCUCAAGCCCUGGGUGGGACUCAGGACUGGGCUCCAACCACCGGAAGGGAAACAGAAACCAUCUCCUGCAUGGUUUCUGUUAGGAAGGAAAGGAGGAAGGAAAGAAGGAAGGAAACAGGUUUUCCCUUUCAGCACGCAUGCUCUCUGUUAGGGGUCUCAACUUCUUCUGUGUCUGUGCACCACAGUUUUUUAUCAAGUGGUAAAUAUUGUUGUUCAGUCGCUAAGUGCUGUUUCACUUUGUGACCUCAUGGACUGCAGC